rnacentral:lncRNA from 9 species
CUGAGGCCCCAGGGGGUUUAGACUUCAGCAUGAGUCGGGGGAGGACAUUCAGCCCGCAAGGCCCUGGAGAGUCAGGGUCUGCCAAGGACCCCUGCUGGGUGCUGCCCUGACUGCAGGGCAGGGGUCCUGUCAGCCGGGAGCCCAGACCCCCGAGUGGGGACACCAGCCAGCUUUGCACAUGUCGCAGGAAUUUCAAGCUCAAUCCAGCCACUGCUUCUAGGAGACACUGAAGCUCCUGGAUUGAAGACCUGCUGUCCGGCCACCCUCGGAGACCCGUGGCAGACGUGGAGCCAGCAGGAAAGAGCAGCCCCCUGCCCUGGCACAGGCUCCGGCCUCUCCAUCUCCCGACUCCUGAAUCUCACCCCCACCGAAUUUCUCGAGGAUGAAGCCUGCAUCCAGGGUGAGUGUCCCCGCCCGUUAAGGGGCCACCCGCCUGCCGGUUGCUGGGGAAGCUCGGGGGUCUCCCGGCUCUCCCACGCCACACCUUGUCAGGGGACAUCCUUCUGGCUCCACCUUCCUGUGACAACAAACCCAGAAUCUGACCCCUCCUCACUGUGGCCACCCCCCCCCACCCAUUGCUUCCUUUUCUGGCCUCUGCCUCCUGCAAACAGCUCCCUAGGUCUGGGGUCUGCGGCCACGGCCACCUUUCCCGUCGCACCAGUCCUCUGCUCCAAGCCUGCUCCCCGUCCUCGGGGAGCUUCGAGGUCCCGGGAUCUGCCUGCCGUGCUGAGCACUUACCUCCUGCACGCCAGCUCCAGGCCCCGUGUGGUCCAGCUCCGCUGGUUCUCAGCAUCGCCCUUCUGCCCAGAAUCCUCACUAACUCCCACCCCUUCCAGGUUUAGCUCAAUGUCAGUGUCGCCUUCUUGGAAGCUGCUCUGCCUACUCACUCCACGAAUGACCUUCAGGUGACCUUGCGCUUCCCUCCCAGCCCCGACUUUGCACCCAUCCGCCUUCCUCCCCUACGUGUGAGCUCCCUGGGGGCAGGAGCUCGGUCUGCGAGGCUCACGGAUGACUCCUGUGUAUGGAAACAGGGUCGGGCCCACAGCGAGGGCUCCCAAACCGUGCCAACAAAUGAACCAACAGGACAGGGCGGUCAUCACGGGUUUGGAAAAAAUGCAACCUGGCAGUUGAGAGUUGUUUUACUUGGGG